rnacentral:rRNA from 1 species
GGAGGAAAAGAAACCAACAGGGAUUGCCUCAGUAACGGCGAGUGAAGCGGCAACAGCUCAAAUUUGAAAUCUGGUCCUUUUAGGUCCCGAAUUGUAAUUUGUAGAAGAUGCUUCGGGUGUGGCUCCGGUCUAAGUCCCUUGGAACAGGGCGUCAUAGAGGGUGAGAAUCCCGUAUGUGACUGGCUGCCUCCGCCCAUGUGAAGCUCUUUCGACGAGUCGAGUUGUUUGGGAAUGCAGCUCAAAAUGGGUGGUAAAUUUCAUCUAAAGCUAAAUAUUGGCCAGAGACCGAUAGCGCACAAGUAGAGUGAUCGAAAGAUGAAAAGCACUUUGGAAAGAGAGUUAAACAGUACGUGAAAUUGUUGAAAGGGAAGCGCUUGCAAUCAGACUUGCGCGCCGUUGAUCAUCCCCGGUUCUCCGGGGUGCACUCGGCGGCGCUCAGGCCAGCAUCGGUUUCGGUGGUUGGAUAAAGACCUUGGGAAUGUGGCUCCUCUCGGGGAGUGUUAUAGCCCAGGGUGCAAUGCAGCCUACCGGGACCGAGGACCGCGCUUCGGCUAGGAUGCUGGCGUAAUGGUUGUAAGCGACCCGUCUUGAAACACGGACCAAGGAGUCUAACACUUAUGCGAGUGUUUGGGUGUUAAACCCAUACGCGUAAUGAAAGUGAACGGAGGUGAGAACCCUUAAGGGUGCAUCAUCGACCGGUCCUGAAGUUUACGGACGGAUCUGAGUAAGAGCAUAAUUGUUGGGACCCGAAAGAUGGUGAACUAUGCCUGAAUAGGGUGAAGCCAGAGGAAACUCUGGUGGAGGCUCGCAGCGGUUCUGACGUGCAAAUCGAUCGUCAAAUUUGGGUAUAGGGGCGAAAGACUAAUCGAACCAUCUAGUAGCUGGUUCCUGCCG